rnacentral:pre_miRNA from 1 species
CGGAUGAUAUAGAUGAGGCGGAGUUUGACACGAGCAUGUAUCAUUUCAGUGAGCAUAUACCUUCUGCGAGGGAAAGCACAAGUUUGAGCGAAGCUCACAGGAACAACAGCAAGCUGCAGAAGUGGUGCAUGAAACAGGACAAGUUACUCGCCUCAGGGCUAUCAAGUUUAUGAAGAACAAGCUCAGCUGCUCCUCUUCCACUACAGCUAUUCCG